AAUAAGAAAUAUUCCUCAUCUCUGCUAAUAUUACAAAUUAAAUACAUAUAUAUACGUACAUAAUAUUGGUCCUAAUAAUGGGUUAUAUUUUAACAGACUGUUAUAAUAAUCCUUCAGUUAUCCAUUUAAGCUGCUGUGGAAUAAAAUCAGGCUGAUGUCCUGACUUGCUUACAAUUUAAAAAGAAUAGAAAAUCCUGCACUGGAAUUAAUAAUAUUCCUGCAUUUAAGUCAAUUCCAACUUCAGUGAACACUCAUUUCACAUGGUGACACCCAAUCACAUGACAGGAACUGUGCAAAAAGCUGGGACAAAAUGAUAAUGCAAUAAUUACUACUCUCAUUUAAGCAACAGUCUGUUAGUUCUAAAUUAGCAGUUCAUUAAUAUCUUUAUGACAAGUUAACAAACCACAGAAGAGAACAUUCCAUGCAAACACUGAAAAUGGUUCUUUCUAAAAAUAUUUUUCAAUUACUUCACUGUUUCUACUCCUAAAAUGUACCUCAUUCUAUUUUCUUUUUUCCUGGAUUUCACCUCAAAGUCAGUGAGGUUGAUGAAUUUUUCAUUCAUGAACCUAACUCUAUUCCUCUUCUUUGACAUUAGAUCAUGUUGAUAAGAUAUCAGUUAUAUAGAAGGGGGUGGUAACAACACCUACAAUUAUUUUUCAUAUCAACCAUCAAUAUAUAUAUAACCUUUUUGAGGCUUUGCUUAUAAAGUUAACAGGACUUAUUCUAAGAUGUGACAUUUACAGUUCAAAAUGGAAAAAAAAUAUACACAAUUCUGAAAAGUUUAAAAAUGAUCACAGUUAUAAUGCAACUUACUUAGUCCUUUAAUGCAAAUAUACUUUUCUUGGGCAAACAUCUACAGACAGAACCAUCAUGAAAUUUUCUUAAAACUCAGCCUUGUUAUUUGGCAGGAAAUUAAGCCUGAACACAAGACAGUAUGACCAAAAUCACCAGAUGUUUUCAUAGAAUGCAGAUAUUGUGCUAAUGAAUUCCAUCCUCAUGGAAAAUUCCACCUCAUUUUACAAGGUUCAUUUUGAUUCAUACAUUAAUUUUCUUGAUUUUAUUGCCAUGAUGAUUUUGUAUACACAUACACACAUCUCUACCUAUCUAUAUGAGUAUAAAUAAAUAUAUAAUCACUUUAAAAGAAAACAAAAGUGACAAAUGAAAGAAAAACUUAAAAGAAAACUGCAAAUAUUAACACAAGGGAAUAUAUUAAAAUUGUGUUAACUAAUUCAUAUUCCUCAAAUACCCUUUAAUUAGCUAAUUUUAAAAUAAUUUAAUUGGAGUUCCUGUUCUGGCUCAGUGGAAACAAAUCGACUAGGUACCAUGAGGUUGCAGGUUUGAUCCCUGGCCUUGCUCAGUGG
rnacentral:lncRNA from 1 species